rnacentral:rRNA from 1 species
GAUGUUGCCUGAAAAGUUUUGCAUGGAAUAAUGGAAUAGGACUUCGGUUCUAUUUCGUUGGUUUUCGGAUCCGAAGUAAUGAUCAAGAGAGACAGGCGGGGGCGUUUGUAUGGCUGCGCUAGAGGUGAAAUUCAUGGACCGUAGCCAGACAAACUAAAGCGAAAGCAUUCGUCAAGCAUGUUUUCAUUGGCCAUGAGCGAAAGUCAGAGGCUCGAAGACGAUCAGAUACCGUCCUAGUUCUGACCAUAAACGAUGCCAACUGACGAUCCGUGGUGGUAGUGCAUAAACCUUCCCCACGGGCAGUCUCCGGGAAACCUUUAAGUGUAUGGGUUCCGGGGGAAGUAUGGUUGCAAAGCUGAAACUUAAAGGAAUUGACGGAAGGGCACCACCAGGAGUGGAGCCUGCGGCUUAAUUUGACUCAACACGGGAAAACUCACCCGGGCCGGACACUAUGAGGAU